UAGGGAAUCUUCGGCAAUGGACGAAAGUCUGACCGAGCAACGCCGCGUGAGUGAAGAAGGUUUUCGGAUCGUAAAACUCUGUUGUUAGAGAAGAACAAGGACGUUAGUAACUGAACGUCCCCUGACGGUAUCUAACCAGAAAGCACGGCUAACUACGUGCCAGCAGCCGCGGUAAUACGUAGGUGGCAAGCGUUGUCCGGAUUUAUUGGGCGUAAAGCGAGCGCAGGCGGUUUCUUAAGUCUGAUGUGAAAGCCCCCGGCUCAACCGGGGAGGGUCAUUGGAAACUGGGAGACUUGAGUGCAGAAGAGGAGAGUGGAAUUCCAUGUGUAGCGGUGAAAUGCGUAGAUAUAUGGAGGAACACCAGUGGCGAAGGCGGCUCUCUGGUCUGUAACUGACGCUGAGGCUCGAAAGCGUGGGGAGCAAACAGG
rnacentral:rRNA from 1 species